rnacentral:rRNA from 1 species
GUGCAGCAGUCGAGAAACCUUCGCAAUGCGCGAAAGCGCGACGAGGGGACUCCGAGUGCCUAUGCUCAGCAUAGGCUGUUCACCGGUGUAAAAAGCCGGUGGAGGAAGGGGUGGACAAGACUGGUGCCAGCCGCCGCGGUAAUACCAGCGCCCCAAGUGGUGAUCGAUAUUAUUGGGUCUAAAACGUCCGUAGCCGGCCCGGUAAAAUCUCCGGGUAAAUCGUCCAGCUUAACUGGUCGAAUUCUGGGGAGACUGCCGGGCUUGGGACCGGGAGAGGUCGGAGGUACUCCAGGGGUAGGGGUGAAAUCCUGUAAUCCCCUGGGGGACCACCGGUGGCGAAGGCGUCCGACUAGAACGGGUCCGACGGUAAGGGACGAAGGCUAGGGGAGCAAAACGGGGAUUAGAUACCCCUGUAGU